rnacentral:rRNA from 1 species
GACGUAGGGUCCAAGCGUUGUCCGGAAUUACUGGGCGUAAAGAGUGUGUAGGCGGUGUUCUAAGUUUGUCGUGAAAUCUCCCGGCUUAACUGGGAGGGUGCGGCGAAAACUGGAAUGCUAGAGGAUGGGAGAGGUAAGCGGAAUUCCUGGUGUAGCGGUGAAAUGCGUAGAUAUCAGGAGGAACACCUGUGGUGUAGACAGCUUACUGGACCAUUUCUGACGCUGAGACACGAAAGCGUGGGUAGCAAACAGG